rnacentral:rRNA from 1 species
GAUGAACGCUGGCGGCGUGCCUAAUACAUGCAAGUCGAGCGAACGGACGAGAAGCUUGCUUUUCUGAUGUUAGCGGCGGACGGGUGAGUAACACGUGGAUAACCUACCUAUAAGACUGGGAUAACUUCGGGAAACCGGAGCUAAUACCGGAUAAUAUUUUGAACCGCAUGGUUCAAAAGUGAAAGACGGUCUUGCUGUCACUUAUAGAUGGAUCCGCGCUGCAUUAGCUAGUUGGUAAGGUAACGGCUUACCAAGGCAACGAUGCAUAGCCGACCUGCGAGGGUGAUCGGCCACACUGGAACUGAGACACGGUCCAGACUCCUACGGGAGGCAGCAGUAGGGAAUCUUCCGCAGAGGGCGAAAGCCUGACGGAGCAACGCCGCGUGAGUGAUGAAGGUCUUCGGAUCGUAAAACUCUGUUAUUAGGGAAGAACAUAUGUGUAAGUAACUGUGCACAUCUUGACGGUACCUAAUCAGAAAGCCACGGCUAACUACGUG